CUCCCCGUUAUCCCUUGGCUAUCUAACUUGUGGAAGGCCCCCAUGCCCUUGAAGAUAAAGAUCUUCGUUUGGCAGCUUCUUAGAAAUUGCCUCCCUUUGGGGACCGAGGUGCUCAAGCGACAUGGCCCGGGUGAUGGACUUUGCCUUUUAUGCAGGGUCCCUGAGACCGUGGCCCAUAUUAUAUUCUCGUGCAUGGCAGUUCGGAUCCUUUGGCAGUUCGUCCGUGAGGCACUAGGGCCCGACUAA
rnacentral:rRNA from 1 species